rnacentral:rRNA from 1 species
CGUGCCUAAUACAUGCAAGUCGAGCGGAACUUAGAAAGUUUGCUUUCUAAGUUUAGCGGCGGACGGGUGAGUAACACGUGGGCAACCUGCCUAUAAGACUGGGAUAACUUCGGGAAACCGGAGCUAAUACCGGAUAAUAUAAAAGAUCACAUGGUCUUUUAUUGAAAGAUGGCUUCGGCUAUCACUUAUAGAUGGGCCCGCGGCGCAUUAGCUAGUUGGUGAGGUAAUGGCUCACCAAGGCGACGAUGCGUAGCCGACCUGAGAGGGUGAUCGGCCACACUGGGACUGAGACACGGCCCAGACUCCUACGGGAGGCAGCAGUAGGGAAUCUUCCGCAAUGGACGAAAGUCUGACGGAGCAACGCCGCGUGAGCGAUGAAGGCCUUCGGGUCGUAAAGCUCUGUUGUUAGGGAAGAACAAGUAUCGUUCGAAUAGGGCGGUACCUUGACGGUACCUAACCAGAAAGCCACGGCUAACUACGUG